CCCCCAUCCCACCGCCUUUAUCUCCUGCACCAUCUGUUUCUAGAAAUGUGCUUUGCUCCUUCCCAUGGAGAACCAACUCUCUCUGCCCUUGGUUCCCUCCAGCUCCCCUAUCUCCUCCUUCCUAGCCAAAGUUCUCAGUUUCCACUCCUUAUCUCUCAUUAUCUCCUCAAACCACACCAAUUAACUUCUGUCUCCACCCCUUGCUUAAUGGAAACAGCUCUAUUCAGCAUCACAAUACCUUUGCUAAACCCAGAAGUUAGGUCCUCUCCUUCAGCCCCUCCCAUCCUUCAGCUCAGUGGCCGCCCGCCUCCUACCACAGGCUCCCAUCGCCUAGCCUGCUCCGCUUUUCCUUCCACCUCCCUGGUUGUGCCUCAGUUUACUUGGCCAAUCCCACUUUCUCUGCUCAGCUGCUAAGUCAAGUGGCCACAUGACUGACUGGCAGCCAAUUGAUGGGAGUGGAUGUAGCUGGUGCCAGUUCCCUGCCAUCCAAUAAACCAGCCUUGAGCAGUCCUCCCACUGCACCUCUGCCUACGUGAGAUGCAAGCAAGCAAGGUCCGCUUGGAAGAUCUGUGUUGAAAAUCGUUCCCACUUGGCUGAAUUUCCUGGUGGCUCAGAUGGAAAAGAAUCUGCCUGCAAUGCAAGAUUUCUGGGUUUGGUACCUGGAUUGGGAAGAUCCCCUGGAGGAGGAAAUGACUCCUACAGCACCUCCACAUGGCCCUCAGGGUGAAGUCCAAAAGUUCUCUUGGGUUCAUCAGGCUGCUGCUGGCUUCUGCCCUACCUUUUACCAGCUCUCCAGCUCCCAGCCCCCAGCGUUCAGAGUUCCAGCC
ensembl:lncRNA